AGAGUUUGAUCCUGGCUCAGAGCGAACGCUGGCGGCGUGCUUAACACAUGCAAGUCGAACGGGUGUAGCAAUACACUCGUGGCGAACGGGUGCGUAACACGUGGAUAACCUUCCUUGAGGUGGGGAAUAACCCAGUGAAAAUUGGGCUAAUACCGCAUAACACAGCGAUGGCACAUGCUGAUGCUGUCAAAGGAGCAAUU
rnacentral:rRNA from 1 species